AGGAUGAACGCUAGCGGCAGGCUUAAUACAUGCAAGUCGAGGGGCAGCAGGUUUGUAGCAAUACAGAUGCUGGCGACCGGCAAACGGGUGCGGAACACGUACACAACCUUCCUUUAAGUGGGGAAUAGCCCAGAGAAAUUUGGAUUAAUACCCCGUAACAUUAUGAUGUGGCAUCACAUUAUAAUUAUAGCUCAGGCGCUUAAUGAUGGGUGUGCGGCUGAUUAGGUAGUUGGCGGGGUAACGGCCCACCAAGCCUGCGAUCAGUAACUGGUGUGAGAGCACGACCAGUCACACGGGCACUGAGACACGGGCCCGACUCCUACGGGAGGCAGCAGUAAGGAAUAUUGGGCAAUGGAGGCAACUCUGACCCAGCCAUGCCGCGUGGAGGAUGAAGGCCCUCUGGGUUGUAAACUUCUUUUAUAUGGGACGAAAAAGGGCCUUUCCAGGUCAACUGACGGUACCAUAUGAAUAAGCACCGGCUAACUCCGUGCCAGCAGCCGCGGUAAUACGGAGGGUGCAAGCGUUAUCCGGAUUCACUGGGUUUAAAGGGUGCGUAGGUGGGUUGGUAAGUCAGUGGUGAAAUCUCCGAGCUUAACUUGGAAACUGCCAUUGAUACUAUCAGUCUUGAAUAUUGUGGAGGUCAGCGGAAUAUGUCAUGUAGCGGUGAAAUGCUUAGAUAUGACAUAGAACACCAAUUGCGAAGGCAGCUGGCUACGCAUAUAUUGACACUGAGGCACGAAAGCGUGGGGAUCAAACAGGAUUAGAUACCCUGGUAGUCCACGCCCUAAACUAUGUCUACUAGUUGUCGGGUCUUAAUUGACUUGGUAACGCAGCUAACGCGUGAAGUAGACCG
rnacentral:rRNA from 1 species